rnacentral:snRNA from 1 species
AUAGGGUUCUCGGCCUUUUGGCUAAGAUCAAGUGUAGUAUCUGUUCUUAUCAGUUCCGUACACUUUUUUGGGGGCUGAGGCUGGGGCUGAAACAAAUUUUCCUUGUACUCCCU